rnacentral:lncRNA from 1 species
UCAUUGAGUGUUGAAGUGAUAAACCACUUAACGAGACGGAAACUAGGCAAGGACUUCACCUUUAUGUCCCUAUACUAAUGGUUCACUAAGUUUAUUGUAAACUAUGUAGUGAACAAUAACCACAUGCUCUCCAAAAAUGUUUGAUGUGUAUAACACAAUUGAAAUAAGUUUCAAGAGAGAUAGUGGGAGUUUAGGGACCAUGACUAUUGUAGUCAAAGGAGAAGUCAAAUGAAGAAGAUAAAAUUAACUCCAAGGGAACAAACUUUCUUUAUGAAAGGAUGGACAUUGGAAGGGGUAUUUGCAAGAAAUGUCUUGCAAGUGUCAAGAACACACCUUUCGAAGGUGUUGAAAAUUGUUCUUGAAAAGUUCAAAACAGUUGGUUCUUCUACUUGAAUGCUUGAUUCUGUAUUAGUAACUAUGUUUUACAAUCGUUGUAAAAGUGUGACUAAUAAGAAGUAGAAGAUUAAUGAGAGAAGAGAAAGUACUUCACAUUCGAAACGUGAAUCAAAUGUAGAUCUCUGCGAAAGCAGAUGGUACUUACUUCCUCAUAUGAACUACCAAAGAAAUUGGAAAAACAAAGAUUGUCUUUACAUUCCAAUUUUAAGGAACUAAAUUCCGUCACUAUGUGAAAUGGAUAAAUGUUUUGUUUGACAAAACAUUGUUCUUUAUUAAUCAAUGAUUGGAUUAUGGUAAUCUAAUUGAUUGUCUCUAUAGUAGAGAUGAUAUGGUAGUGUUAACUGUUUAGAAUACAAUGAUGCUUAAAACCCAAAAGGUUGCAAGGUAGUGACUAAUCCCAACUAAGUUGUGAUUCCUCUAAAAACAUAAAUUACGAGUUGGUAAUAAAUGGAUGCUUUGGAUUGUUAGAUCCGGAUCCAAUACCUUCUUAUUAAAAUUGUAUAGAGGCGAAAUGUUCGAAUCUUUAUUCUUUUGGAAAGAAGAAAGAAUCACAAAGUUGUUGAGGUUAAUUCACUUAGAUGUUAGUGGCACUUGUCCACAAACAUAAUACUACUCAUGUUGGAUGACAUUCACCGAAGAUCACCCUCGGUUGGACUAUAGUUUAUUUUAAAUAAACAUAAGUCCGAAUACUUUGCAAAAGGUUUCAAAGAAUUCAAGUAAUGUAAGUUGAUGAGUAAGACGUCUAAAGUAUUUACCUCCUUAGAUUUGAUCCAAGGAAAAGAAACACUUUAGAUGAGUCUCCUUGAAAGAUAUCAAGGAAAGAAGCAUCAUAAGAUAAUAAACUUCUCCAUUAAGGAGAAGAACGAACUAGAAUAAGAUUUAGUUCGUUAGAUGUUAUCUAUUACCCAUAUAUAGGAUAUAUACUUCUAAAACAAUAUGAUUGUCAAUUAGAAGAUCUUCCAAAUCUUUCAUGACUCCAUAAGAUAUAGUUGGAAAGAAAGACAAAUCUCAAGCAUGUUAAGAUUUGGGGUUGUGAGCUUAUAAGCAAUAUUUGUUUAAUAAUAAUCUGGUGGGAUAUCCUUAAAUUAACUUUUGGAUAUCGCUUCUAUAAACCAACUAACAAAUGUUGUUUUGUUGGGUAGUUCAUUGUAAUCAUACAAUGUGAUUUGCCUAAAAGCAAAUAAACGAGAGAUAGAACUCAAAGAAUGGGUUCUUUGAGAGACAAGAAAGUAAUCAACAAAUAUAACAACCUAGUUCCUAUACCUCAAGCUCCAAGGUAGUCGAUAAGGAUUUAUAAACCGUCUUAGUUGAAUGAUUUUUGAACUUUAUGACUAUGUCAUAGAGUUACACCUCUUAAUUCGAAAGAAAUAAGAAUGAAAAUCCUUAUGACUACAUUGAGUGUAUAUAUGAUGUAUACUCAAGGAAAUGGUAAAGUACCAUUUGACCCGAAAUAAUGAAACCUUCAUAAGCUAAUUGGUAGCUUAAGAUGACUACAAUCAAAGAGAAUGGUUGACUUUGAAGAAACCAUCUUUGAGAUAGUCUUGGUUUCAAUUAAUUCGAAGAUUGCUAGCUACAACUAAAUGGUGAUUCAAUGUUUGGACAUAAUAUGGGUUUUCGA